rnacentral:hammerhead_ribozyme from 1 species
AUCCAACUGACAAGUCUUAAAUAGGACGAAACUCGCGUCCUGGAU